rnacentral:rRNA from 1 species
GACGAACGCUGGCGGCGUGCUUAACACAUGCAAGUCGAACGGAAAGGCCCUGCUUUUGUGGGGUGCUCGAGUGGCGAACGGGUGAGUAACACGUGAGUAACCUGCCCUUUACUUUGGGAUAACUUCAGGAAACUGGGGCUAAUACCGGAUAGGAGCUCCUGCUGCAUGGUGGGGGUUGGAAAGUUUCGGCGGUUGGGGAUGGACUCGCGGCUUAUCAGCUUGUUGGUGGGGUAGUGGCUUACCAAGGCUUUGACGGGUAGCCGGCCUGAGAGGGUGACCGGCCACAUUGGGACUGAGAUACGGCCCAGACUCAUACGGGAGGCAGCAGUGGGGAAUAUUGCACAAUGGGCGGAAGCCUGAUGCAGCAACGCCGCGUGCGGGAUGACGGCCUUCGGGUUGUAAACCGCUUUCGCCUGUGAAGAAGAGUGAGUGACGGUAAUGGGUAAAGAAGCACCGGCUAACUACGUG